UAUGUAUAAAUUUAUAACAGUAUGUGAACUUCAAGCAAAACUUUAAGGGAUAAAUCAAUUAAUAGUUCGAUAAAAGGCUGAUUUAGUACAAAGGUAAUGAGUUAUACUUGACAUCAUAUUUUCCUAUUUCUACUGCUACAUUUGCGAAAAUCACAUUGCUUACGAGCAGUUUUUGGUUUUAGGCAAGAAGCUGAUUGAAAACAACAUUUCCAUGAAAACCCGGAUUGCAUCAUGUAUGCAUGUAGAAGUUACAUAUGUAUUAAGAAUUAAGGCUCAAUACAAGGAGCGGUACAUAGACAUGUUGCUGUUUUUGUUGCUGGGUGCACAUAACACAUAGUAAGAAUAAGACAUACCGCAAGACCUAUUAUAAUAUUUACACAAGAAUUGCUACGUAUUUUAUUAAGCAUUAUUAUCUUAAAUAAAAUAAAACAUACAAAUGUUCUGUGGGUUUAUUUAUUUUUCUUUACUAAGUAAGUAUUAUUUUAUUUUCCGUUGUUCAAAUUAUUGUGUUUGGUACCUAGGUAAUCGUUUUUCAUGUCAACUUGGUAACAGGAAAUAUAAAACUUUCUUCAAAAACUUUUGCUGGUGGUUCUGAAUCUGAAAAUUUAAAUAAGAUUUAAACACAUUUAUUGCCAAAAACCCGCUGCGUGGGUUCAUUUUGUAUUGGAAAUGGGGCGCUUGGCACUGAAAUAUACUCGAGAUCAUAUAGGUACUAUAAAAUUAAGAUCGCUAUUAAGGUCAUACGUAGGGUCUGUGCGGAAAGAGAAGAGUCGUAGGUAUAAUGUAUGGGCUCCCCUAAAUUUCACGACUUUUCUCUUUCCGGACACUCUAUUAGAUAAUGUUACUUAGCAGUAGGAGACGGCCGCUGUCAUGAUGCGGACUGAAGCGGACCAUUAUAAUACAUACCUAUUUUAAUAUUUUAAGAUUUCUUCUCAUGUGUGUACUAUUUUCAUCAUAGGUAAUAAAUAUGUAGCCAAAUGUAGCCUGUAUAAUCGCGCCGUAUACUUUGCUUCCUAUUUUUUAACACGCAAUGUCAUAAUUAUAACUCGAUUAUUAAUGAUGUUUACGUAAUUAUCAUAUUUUGCAAUUUUUGUCUUGAAUACAAUUAUAUUUUAAUUUAUACAUUGUUUACUAACAUUGAUGUUUAUUAUUUUCGUAACUAUGGCAACGUCAAAUCUUUAAAAAAUUGUAGAAUGAAGGUUGAGUCAGUAACAAAGUGACAAAACUGGUCUUAGAGCAUUUAAUAACUGGAGUGGCCAUUGAGUGCUUACUGUUAGGAUUUAGGAUUAGGGUUCCAAGCAGGAAAGAAAAGCUUGUUUUAACACCAUAUUGGUAAUGCUUAUUAAUCUCAAGCAAGAUUACAUAGUAAUGGCGUCUCAUACGAGAAGAAAGAACACCUACAUUUGUUUUAUAUUGACAACCGAAUAAAUCAAAUAUCAUAGUCGUAGUAGUCUCGUAGGUAUACUCUUUAUUUUUUUCCUGACAUUAUUACUUACCCCUCUGCCGAAAAACUUGCACAAUUGUGCAAACUUUUGUAUGGACUGACAUGGCUAUUUGUACGUUACGUACAAAUCAUGUAGGAAUAGCAAUACAUUUGACGUCCCCUCCCCCGCAAAAAUCGGCAGACUGUUUUGUAAAGAAAAUGACAGCGAUGACAUCUCCCUUCUAAAUGCUCUUAGUGGAUGGUAGAGGUAAGGAAUACAAUCUCCAUGUAAUUAAUAAUGAAAAAGUGUCCGUCAAAAACCUUAAGAGGGAAGUAUACUACGUAAUCGUCCAUACAAAAAGAGAAAACGUUUUUCCACUUGUAAAUACGAGUAUCUUCCAUUCCCCAUGAUUUUUAGUACGGUAUUGAUACAAUGAAAAACUAGGUUUAUGGGGACCCAUUUUUAGGGUUCCGUAGCCAAAUGGCAAAAACGGAACCCUUAUAGAUUCGUCAUGUCUGUCUGUCUGUCUGUCUGUCCGUCCGUAUGUCACAGCCACUUUUUUCCGAAACUAUAAGCACUAUACUGUUGAAACUUGGUAAGUGGAUGUAUUCUGUGAACCGCAUUAAAAUUUUCAUACAAAAACAGAAAAAAAACAAUACAUUUUUAGGGUUCCUCAUACAUAGAACUGAAACUCAAAAAAUUUUUUUUCAUCAAACCCUAACGUGUGGGGUAUCUAUGGAUAGGUCUUCAAAAAUGAUAUUGAGGUUUCUAAUAUCAUUUUCUUCUAAACUGAAUAGUUUGCGCGAGAGACACUUCCAAAGUGGUAAAAUGUGUGUCCCCCCCCCUGUAACUUCUAAAAUAGGAGAAUGAUAAAACUAAAAAAAAUAUAUGAUGUACAUUACCAUGCAAACUUCCACCGAAAAUUGGUUUGAACAAGAUUUGGUAAGUAGUUUUUUUUAAUACAACUGAAACUUAAAAUUUCUUUUUCAUGAAACCCAUACGUGUGGGGUAUCUAUGGAUAGGUCUUCAAAAAUGAUAUUGAGGUUUCUAAUAUAAUUGUUUUCUAAACUGAAUAGUUUGCGCGAGAGACACUUCCAAAGUGGUAAAUUGUGUGUACCCCCCCCCCCCCUUUAAUUUCUAAAAUAAGAGAAUGACAAAACUAAAAAAUAUAUAUGAUGUACAUUAUCAUGCAAACUUCCACCGAAAAUUGGUUUGAACGAGAUCUA